AACAGGGGAGAGGAUAUAGGCUUACUUUGAUUUUAACUUAGUCAGUCUUUUUCUCUCUCCUAUU
rnacentral:pre_miRNA from 1 species